rnacentral:rRNA from 1 species
UACGUAGGGUGCGAGCGUUGUCCGGAAUUACUGGGCGUAAAGCGCGCGUAGGCGGACCUGCAAGUCGGGGGUGAAAUCCCUGGGCUCAACCCAGGAACUGCGUCCGAUACUGGCAGGCUUGAAUCCGGGAGAGGGAUGCGGAAUUCCAGGUGUAGCGGUGAAAUGACGUAGAUAUCUGGAGGAACACCGGUGGCGAAGGCGGCAUCCUGGACCGGCAUUGACGCUGAGGCGCGAAAGCUAGGGGAGCAAACGGGG